GCGGAAGUGGCUCAGUUGGUAGAGCAUCUCCUUGCCAAGGAGAAGGUCGCGAGUUCGAAUCUCGUCUUCCGCUCCA
rnacentral:tRNA from 2 species